rnacentral:rRNA from 1 species
CCUACGGGAGGCUGCAGUGGGGAAUCUUCCGAAAUGGGCGAAAGCCUGACGGAGCAACGCCGCGUGAUCGAAUGAAGGCCUUCGGGUGGUAAAGGUCGGUUGACAGGGACGAAUAAGCAAUGCGAAUAGGUUUGUGGAUGACGGUACCUGUGUAGAAAGCUGCGGCUAACUACGUGCCCGCAGCCGCGGUAAUACGUAGGGAGCAAGCGUUUUCCGGAAUUACUGGGCGUAAAGGGCGCGUAGGUGGGCGCUUAAGUCAGGUGUGAAAACUCCGGGGCCAACCUGGAGACUGCACUUGAAACUGGGUGUCUUGAGGGCAGGAGAGGAAAGUGGAAUUCCUAGUGUAGCGGUGAAAUGCGUAGAUAUUAGGAGGAACACCAGUGGCGAAGGCGACUUUCUGGACUGUACCUGACGCUGAGGCGCGAAAGCGUGGGUAGCGAACGGGAUUAGAUACCCCUGUAGUC